rfam:Loxodonta africana unplaced genomic scaffold scaffold_66, whole genome shotgun sequence.
GCAUUGGUGGCUUAGUGGCAGAAUUCUUGCCUUUCAUGCUGGAGACCUGGGUUCGAUUCCCAGCCAAUGAA